rnacentral:rRNA from 1 species
UACAGAGGGUGCGAGCGUUGUCCGGAAUCACUGGGCGUAAAGGGCGCGUAGGCGGCCUGGUAAGUAGGGGGUGAAAUCUUGCGGCUCAACUGCAAGGCUGCCUCCUAAACUGUCAGGCUUGAGCACAGUAGAGGCAGGUGGAAUUCCCGGUGUAGCGGUGGAAUGCGUAGAGAUCGGGAAGAACAUCGGUGGCGAAGGCGGCCUGCUGGGCUGUUGCUGACGCUGAGGCGCGAAAGCUAGGGGAGCGAACGGG